UAAAACACUAUUAACAUAUGAACAGAGAAAUAGCUCCUUCUUGUCCACACAUUAAUACUUGGAGAUAUGAAGCAUUCAAGCUUUGAUCUGCAACAGUAAGAUGAUCUUUAAAUCAGACUUUCAGGAAACUGAAUGGAGGUUUGAGCCACGCAAGAAAAAAGAGAGGCCCUCUUUUGCUGCUGCUGCUGCUGCUGCUGCUCUUCAAAAUUCAAAACCUACCCAUCUCUCUCUCUCUCUCUCUUCAUAAGUCAUAGCAUUAACAAGCUGUACAGAAGAGGGAAUCUGAUAUAUGGGAUAGAUCUGCAAAGUUUUGAAUUAAUAAUAUUUAUAUUAACCAAGUGCUUAAAAAGAAGAUGCAGAGAGUUAAUGGGGGAGGCAUUAUAUUAUUGGAUCAAUAUUUUUCACAGAAGCCAAAAAAAAUUGGUCAGAAAGAACCCAGAGAAAAGGGCAUUGGGAGUGGAACCAUUGCUCAGAGCUUGCUGAUAUUGUGUCUUCGCUUCAAAUUGGCAAUGGAAUAAACUAAAAUAAUUUGUAAGUUUGCCUCUGAAUAAUGCACCAGUCUGACAAAAUUUGAUACUUUGUGCACUGGAAAUUGGACCAAAGACCAGUCCAACUAGGGACUGAACCAACCAUUAUUGAUCUUAUCAAUACAAUAGAUUGAACAAGCAUAUGCAAGUUAUUUUUCUUUUCAUUUC